AAGUCGUAACAAGGUUUCCGUAGGUGAACCUGCGGAAGGAUCAUUAAAGUGCCAGCGGGUCCGGCGUCGGGUUGCCCCUACAAGGGCGCCCGCGUUGGCCCACUACAGGCCCCACACUUGUCUACCUACCACGUUGCCUCGGCGGACCGCCCCUAGCGGGGGGUCGGGGGGUUCACGCCCCCUGGCCAGCGUCCGCCCGAGGACCGUCCAAACCACUGUCAUCAGCAGUUGCGGUCUGAGCGAUUUACUAUAAAUAAAUCAAAACUUUCAACAAUGGAUCUCUUGGUUCCG
rnacentral:misc_RNA from 1 species